rnacentral:rRNA from 1 species
CCUGGCUCAGAUUAAACGCGUGGCGGCAUGCCUUACACAUGCAAGUCGAACGGCAGCACGGGGCAACCGUGGUGGCGAGGUGGCGAACGGGUGAGUAAAGCAUCGGGAACGUGCCUGGAGUGGGGAUAACGUAGCGAAAGUUACGCUAAUACCGCAUAUUCUGUGAGCAGGAAAGCAGGGGAUCGCAAGACCUUGCGCUCUGGGAGCGGCCGAUGUCGGAUUAGCUAGUUGGUGGGGUAAAGGCCUACCAAGGCGACGAUCCGUAGCGGGUCUGAGAGGAUGAUCCGCCACACUGGGACUGAGACACGGCCCAGACUCCUACGGGAGGCAGCAGUGGGGAAUUUUGGACAAUGGGCGGAAGCCUGAUCCAGCCAUGCCGCGUGAGUGAAGAAGGCCUUCGGGUUGUAAAGCUCUUUCGGCCGGGAAGAAAUCGCAUGGGUCAAUACCCUGUGUGGAUGACGGUACC